rnacentral:misc_RNA from 1 species
GAUGAAGAACGUAGCGAAAUGCGAUAAGUAGUGUGAAUUGCAGAAUUCAGUGAAUCAUCGAAUCUUUGAACGCACAUUGCGCCCCUUGGUAUUCCAUGGGGCAUGCCUAUUCGAGCGUCAUUUGUACCUUCAAGCCUUGCUUGGUGUUGGGUGUUUGUCUCGCCUCUGCGCGCAGACUCGCCUCAAAACAAUUGGCAGCCGGCGUAUUGAUUUCGGAGCGCAGUACAUCUCGCGCUUUGCACUCAGAACGACGACGUCCAAAAGUACAUUUUUACACUCUUGACCUCGGAUCAGGUAGGGAUACCCGCUGAACUUAAGCAUAUCAAUAAGCGGAGGA